CUGUUUCAAUAUAUAUAAACCCGCAAAGCCAUUAACCUUCAAUCCACAGAUUUCAUUGAGAACUAGAGAUUGAGAGGAGAAUGGCAAGUCAGUGUCCAGUUAAGAAUUCAUGGCCGGAGCUCGUCGGGACAAACGGGGACAUUGCAGCGGGUAUCAUACAGACAGAGAAUGCAAAUGUGAAGGCAAUCGUGGUCAAGGAGGGAUUGCCUAUAACUCAGGAUUUAAAUUUCAACAGGGUCCGGGUUUUCGUGGAUGAAAAUCGGGUAGUCACUCAAGUUCCUGCCAUUGGCUAAACAACGAAUUUAUUACCUCAAUGGAGCAGAAAUUAUAUAAUAAAGAAGUAAUCGCAAAUAAAUAAUCUCUGUUCUUUAUGAUUUGAGGAAUAAGAAUUUGUGUUAA
rnacentral:misc_RNA from 1 species